GUAGGUGGCAAGCGUUAUCCGGAAUUAUUGGGCGUAAAGCGCGCGCAGGCGGUUUCUUAAGUCUGAUGUGAAAGCCCACGGCUCAACCGUGGAGGGUCAUUGGAAACUGGGGAACUUGAGUGCAGAAGAGAAAAGCGGAAUUCCACGUGUAGCGGUGAAAUGCGUAGAGAUGUGGAGGAACACCAGUGGCGAAGGCGGCUUUUUGGUCUGUAACUGACGCUGAGGCGCGAAAGCGUGGGGAGCAAACAGGGAUUAGAUACCCUGGUAGUCCACGCCGUAAACGAUGAGUGCUAAGUGUUAGAGGGUUUCCGCCCCUUUAGUGCUGCAGCUAACGCAUUAAGCACUCCGCCUGGGGAGUACGGUCGCAAGACUG
rnacentral:rRNA from 1 species